rnacentral:rRNA from 1 species
UACAGAGGGUGCGAGCGUUAAUCGGAAUUACUGGGCGUAAAGCGUGCGUAGACGGUUACGUAAGUCGGAUGUGGAAUCCCCGGGCUCAACCUGGGAACUGCAUUUGAGACUGCUCUGCUCGGGUGCGGAAGAGGGAAGCGGAAUUUCCGGUGUAGCGGUGAAAUGCGUAGAUAUCGGGAAGGAACACCAGUGGCGAAGGCGGUUGCCUGGGG